rnacentral:rRNA from 1 species
AUUGAACGCUGGCGGCAGGCCUAACACAUGCAAGUCGAGCGAGCGGCGGACGGGUGAGUAAUGUCUGGGAAACUGCCUGAUGGAGGGGGAUAACUACUGGAAACGGUAGCUAAUACCGCAUACCAUCAGAUGUGCCCAGAUGGGAUUAGCAAGUAGGUGGGGUAACGGCUCACCUGGGCGACGAUCCCUAGCUGGUCUGUGAGGAUGACCAGCCAAACGGGAACGGUGGCACGGUCCAGACUCCUACGGGAGGAAGCAGGGGGGAAGAUUGCGCAAUGGGCGCAAGCCUGAUGCAGCCAUGCCGCGUGUAUGAAGAAGGCCGUCGGGUUGUAAAGUUCUUUCAGCGGGGAGGCGUUACCCGCAGAAGAAGCACCGGCUAACUCCGUGCCAGCAGCCGCGGUAAUUC